rnacentral:lncRNA from 1 species
AUCUCUUCCCAUUUUCUCUUCCAAUUCCAAUUUUUCGUCCCUCAUGGCCCGUGUCGCGAUCGCCGUCGUUUUCGUAGCCGCCGUCAUCCUCGCCCUCUCCGCCACCUCCGUGACGGCGCGUCCUUGCAGGACCUUCAUAAUCUCCUCCUACUCCUUCCGCAACCCUAACUCCAACACCUUCGCCACCAUCACCGAGAUCCGAUCCUUCACUCCUAUCUUCGUCACCGACAAACGUUCUUCCUACGACGUUUUCUUCCCCCACGCGCUCCCACAGCAGGAGCGCGUCAACCCACGCGCCCCUCUAGGGUUUGCCUCCGCGUACGACUUCUCCUCCCUCCGCGACCGCACCAAGGACAUCCUUAGCGUCGCCCUCGCGCUUCUCUUCGGUGUAGGCUGCGGAGCCCUCACCGCCGCUACCAUGUACCUCGUCUGGUCUGUUUUCCCUAUACGCCACCACGCUGCGGCCUACGACGACUUCUCCUCAGACGAAGAGAUCGAGAGCCCCAAAAAGUUAGGAUACGUCAAGAUUCCGGCCCCGGACACCGUUGCCGCCGCUCAAACGCCUGCCAAAGGCUCGGUAUAAAAACCCCGAAUGCUGAGAUUGGGGAUAUCUCUUGGUAACCGUGUGGUUGAUGUUUGUUAAUAAUUAUAGGUGAAUUGAACAGAGAAAGUGUCGAAUGGUGCGAACUUUGGCCAUGUAUUUGUGCCUGCUUAUUCUAUGUUACAUGUUUACUAUUGAAUUUGGUGUAUUUGCGUUGUUUUAUUUCUAACUGGCGAACCAUGGUGUUUUUGGCGUUAAUCAUUGCCUUGGAUAUGGAACUAGUCGUCAUAUAUAGUAGCAUUUAUGUAUUUACUCACGGGUUUU